rnacentral:rRNA from 2 species
GCGGGAGGGUGCUAUACAUGCAAGUCGAGCGGACUUUAAAAGCUUGCUUUUAAAGUUAGCGGCGGACGGGUGAGUAACACGUGGGCAACCUGCCUGUAAGACUGGGAUAACUUCGGGAAACCGGAGCUAAUACCGGAUAAUCCUUUUCCUCUCAUGAGGAAAAGCUGAAAGACGGUUUACGCUGUCACUUACAGAUGGGCCCGCGGCGCAUUAGCUAGUUGGUGAGGUAACGGCUCACCAAGGCGACGAUGCGUAGCCGACCUGAGAGGGUGAUCGGCCACACUGGGACUGAGACACGGCCCAGACUCCUACGGGAGGCAGCAGUAGGGAAUCUUCCGCAAUGGACGAAAGUCUGACGGAGCAACGCCGCGUGAGUGAUGAAGGUUUUCGGAUCGUAAAACUCUGUUGUUAGGGAAGAACAAGUACAAGAGUAACUGCUUGUACCUUGACGGUACCUAACCAGAAAGCCACGGCUAACUACGUGCCAGCAGCCGGGGGGUAAUACA